UACGGGGGGAGCAAGCGUUGUUCGGAUUUACUGGGCGUAAAGGGCUCGUAGGCGGUUUGUCGCGUCGGGAGUGAAAACCUUGGGCUUAACUCAGGGCUUGCUUUCGAUACGGGCAGACUAGAGGUAUGCAGGGGAGAACGGAAUUCCUGGUGUAGCGGUGAAAUGCGCAGAUAUCAGGAGGAACACCGGUGGCGAAGGCGGUUCUCUGGGAAUGUCCUGACGCUGAGGAGCGAAAGUGUGGGGAGCGAACAGG
rnacentral:rRNA from 1 species